GGACAACCUGCCCUGAGGACUGGAAUAAUCCCGGGAAACUGGGGGUAAUUCCAGAUAUGUCAGAACUCCUGGAAUGGGUUCUGGCAGAAAGGCUCCGGCGCCUCAGGAUGGGUCUGCGGCCUAUCAGGUAGUAGUGGGUGUAGCGUACCUACUAGCCUACGACGGGUACGGGUUGUGAGAGCAAGAGCCCGGAGAUGGAUUCUGAGACAUGAAUCCAGGCCCUACGGGGCGCAGCAGGCGCGAAAACUUUACAAUGCUGGCAACAGCGAUAAGGGGACCUCGAGUGCUGGGUUACAAACCUGGCUGUUGGGCUGCCUAAAAAGCAGUCUAUAGCAAGGGCCGGGCAAGACCGGUGCCAGCCGCCGCGGUAACACCGGCGGCUCGAGUGGUAACCGUUAUUAUUGGGUCUAAAGGGUCUGUAGCCGGCCGGAUAAGUCUCUUGGGAAAUCUGGCAGCUCAACUGUCAGGCUUUCAGGAGAUACUGUCUGGCUCGAGGCCGGGAGAGGUGAGAGGUACUUCAGGGGUAGGGGUGAAAUCUUGUAAUCCUUGAAGGACCACCAGUGGCGAAGGCGUCUCACCAGAACGGACCUGACGGCAAGGGACGAAAGCUAGGGGCACGAACCGGAUUAGAUACCCGGGUAGUCCUAGCCGUAAACGAUACUCGCUAGGUGUCGGCCACGGUGCGACCGUGGUCGGUGCCGUAGGGAAGCCGUGAAGCGAGCCACCUGGGAAGUACGGCCGCAAGGCUGAAACUUAA
rnacentral:rRNA from 1 species